rnacentral:rRNA from 1 species
AUUGAACGCUGGCGGCAGGCUUAACACAUGCAAGUCGAGCGGGGUGAUGGUGCUUGCACUAUCACUUAGCGGCGGGCGGGUGAGUAAUGCUUAGGAAUCUGCCUAUUAGUGGGGGACAACAUCUCGAAAGGGAUGCUAAUACCGCAUACGUCCUACGGGAGAAAGCAGGGGAUCACUUGUGACCUUGCGCUAAUAGAUGAGCCUAAGUCGGAUUAGCUAGUUGGUGGGGUAAAGGCCUACCAAGGCGACGAUCUGUAGCGGGUCUGAGAGGAUGAUCCGCCACACUGGGACUGAGACACGGCCCAGACUCCUACGGGAGGCAGCAGUGGGGAAUAUUGGACAAUGGGGGAACCCUGAUCCAGCCAUGCCGCGUGUGUGAAGAAGGCCUUAUGGUUGUAAAGCACUUUAAGCGAGGAGGAGGCUCUUUUGGUUAAUACCCAAGAUGAGUGGACGUUACUCGCAGAAUAAGCACCGGCUAACUCUGUGCCAGCCGCCGCGGUAA